rfam:Acidobacteria bacterium RIFCSPLOWO2_02_FTLL_59_13 rifcsplowo2_02_scaffold_27596, whole genome shotgun sequence.
CCCACGGCUUACGCCGUGGGCUAGAAUCUGCCGCCCCUACGGGGCU